UUUUAGAUUUUAUUUGUUUUGCAAUGAAUAAUGAUUUGUUUUAAUUAUUCAUGGUUUUUUGCAGGUACGAUUUUAUUUUUUUUCGACAAGAAACAAUGGUAUCCACGAGAAGAGGAAGAAGACAUAAUACUGCUGGGUUUCCUGAUAAUCAAUCUUCUUUUCGUUCUGUUUCUUUUUCUUUUUUUAAAAAAAUUUAUUCUAAUUAUUAUUUUUUUGGUUUUAUUUUUGCAGGUAUGGUUUUAUUUUUGCAGGUAUGGUUUCUUUGACUCUUCAAACUCGAUUCCCUGCAGUGUUUGAGGGAUGUGAUUCGAAGGAAAUAAUCAAUACAAGUUCCGGGAAUGCGAGUUCUUGAUACGGUUUCAUGAACAGCAGCGGGGUCAUAAGAGGAAUUGAUGUUGGAGAGGGACGCGAUCUUCUAUCCAUCCUACCCCAUUUUGGUAACCCAACGAAUCACAUGACCAGCUUUCAUCAGUUUUAAAUCAGCAUGAACAUACGAAUUGAUUGCAGUGAGAGAAUUCCUGUGUGGAUCAUAAAUUUGGUGUUGAUCGGUAAGUCUUUACCGCUUAAGUAAAAUUCGACUAAAAUUCGACUAAUUUCCAUUUAUCAAAAUUAUAAUCCUUCGGUGGAAGUCAACUGCCUGUGUAAAUGCCUUUUUUUCUUUUUCUUUUUUUCUAACUAUAAACAUGGACCUUAUAGGUGUGUAAUGUGCCAAACUAAGUACGAAGAAGAAGAGAAAGUAAUUCUAUGUGACCAUGCAUACCAUUGGGAAUGUAUAAUUACGUUUAGAUUAAUGUCAGGGAUGCCGGGUUUCCUUUAGAUAUGUUUUGCUCAAUUUCGUUUAGAUUUUUGUAUCAGAAAGAUGUGCAGUUUUAGGGCUGUUGCUAUUAGAAAAAUAUUUGCCAAACAAAUAUAAGGCUCCAAAUUGCCACUGUGUUGAUGUUGCCACUGUGUCAGUGUCAAUGUCGGUAAGUACUUCCCAAUUACUGAAGAAUUUUACGUCAAUGUCAGAAUAGGUUUUCUUUUCGUUUGUUGUUUUGGGUUACUAUUGCAAAAGGUUCGGAAAUUCCAGGUUGGGAAAGUCGCGAAAGUGGAGAACAAAUACACGUUGUAAUGUUUUGAAAAAGAUAGAUGUUCCGAGUGAGUGGUAGUCAUAUUUCUGGAGGUGGAUUUGAUAUAUUACGGAGAAAAUAUGGUCUUGCUGCAAUUAAUAAAGGCUUGCAAGAAAAAAGAAAUUUUGCAGGCAAGUCUUAUUCUCACUUUUCAAAUUUCGCACUGGAGUUUGUAUGGCAAUAUUCAAUUUUCACCACUACUAUUUUUAAAAUUUGGGUGUAGCUGAGACUGCUAAACAGAUGAAAGAAGUACCUUUUGUUUAUUAAAUGCUUAAUCUCAUUGUGUAUUUCAAUUCCUAAUUCUGCAAAGUUGGAUUACUUUGCUUCAAGUUUUUACGUUUGUUGACCGUAGUUUGUUGGAUUUAUAUGAUUUUCUACUUUGUUGAUUAUGAUGUUUUGAUAAUAUUAUUCCAAAGUCUACCACGGAGAAGCCAUUUAAUAACUCAUUUCAAACAAAUAGUUGUCUAGGAGUUAAUGUUAUAUGAUUACGUAGAGAACUCAUCUCACAUGCUAAAAGUUAUGCAAAUGGAAUUUGCUACUCUUACAUUUUUACUAAAGAUUGAUAGAGCAUCCGGUGAAGUACUGUUGCUUGAGAUUAUUGGGGUCAGUAUUCUUUUGCCCUUGAUAGUGGUU